rnacentral:rRNA from 1 species
UACGGGGGGGGUAAGCGUUGUUCGGAAUUACUGGGCGUAAAGGGCUCGUAGGCGGCCAACUAAGUCGGACGUGAAAUCCCUCAGCUUAACUGGGGAACUGCGUCCGAUACUGGAUGGCUUGGAUUUGGGAGAGGGAUGCGGAAUUCCAGGUGUAGCGGUGAAAUGCGUAGAUAUCGGGAGGAAUACCGAUGGCGAAGGCAGGUCUCUGGGCUGACACUGACGCUCAUGCACGAAAGCGUGGGGAGCAAACAGG